GACUACUAGAGUUAAAGGGCCACUUCUAAAGGCAUAUUUGGCCAAGUUUGGUCCAAUUCGGAUCUAGCUCAUAAUCCUAGGCCCAAUACCUACUAACCUAACCCUAAAAUCCAAAAUAAAACCUAGACCCCUAGACCCUCUAGACUAACGCCUAAAAAUCUAAAAAAGCAUCUAACCUAAGACUAGAAAAUCAACCGCAUUAAUCAAAAAAGAACCCCCACCCCCAGCAAUCCUCUUCCUCUCCAUUUCAAAACCAGCGACAAACCUUACUAUCUCCCCUCCAUGGCUUGAGCUUAGCCAACAACCAGACCAAAACCAACGACCCAUGAGUACCAUCUUCUUCAACCUAGAGACCCCAUGAACUUCAUCUCCUUUACACCUAAAAACCUAAGACAACAACAACAGCCGCAACUGAUCACCCCAGCUCAUCUCCCAGCAGCUUCAAUACACAGACACACAUAGAUAUAGACAGACAUGGGAGGGAGAUAGGGGAACAACAAUAGAAAAAGGGAGGAGAAAUAGUGGAAAAAAAUAAAAAAUACAGCAACAGAAAAGGGAGGAGAAGGAACGCCGGGGGUGUUUGUUUGUCCAUCUCUGAGGUGUUUUUAAGUCUUGGAAGUACUCACAUUAAGGUCAGGUCGUUUUUUCAGUUUGAGUCAAUUCUCUGGUUUGAAAAAUGGAUUUCGUGUGAGAUUCGUUUGGAGCUAACGACCGUGAGGUGCCGCUCGAGGUUUAAGUUCGUGAUUCCUGUCCGAAUUUGCUGCUGUUUUCUCGGACAGAUUUCGUGGAUUGGGAGUUUGUAUCUAUUGAUUCUCAAAACCUUAAAGGAUAUUGGCUGAACAGAUAUUUGAAGCGGGGAUGGGUAUAUGGAAGAGCAAAAGGGAAAAAGUGGAGGUUAGAAAGAAGGAUUUCAUAGAACUGAAGAAGCUUGAAGGAGCUAUGGGUGACACGGAUUACUUGGGAGAAGACAACUUUGGGUACGUUGAUGUCAUAGCCAUUGCCAUGACAUCUUGGUUCCACACUUACGAGGUAUUCGGGGGUUUUAAGGUUGAAGAAGAGUACCCUAAAUUUGCCUGCUGGAUAAAGAGAUGCCUUAAAAGGGAGAGUGUUUCCAGUGUUCUUCCAGAUCCUGAAAAGGUUUACUAGUGUGUUGUCAUGCUCAGGAAGAUACAUGGCAUUGAAUAGGGUGGCUUGCAAUGUUGGUGGUUUCUGUGGAUUCAACUAAACACGUAGUUUUAAGUCACACUUUGUUUACAUAUAAUAAAAUCAGACUUAUUUUGAAUCUAUU